UACAGAGGGUGCAAGCGUUGUUCGGAAUUACUGGGCGUAAAGCGCGUGUAGGCUGCAAUGUAAGUCGGAUGUGAAAGCCCUUGGCUUAACCAAGGAAGUGCAUCUGAUACUGCAUCGCUUGAGUGUCGGAGGGGAUGGCGGAAUUCCCGGUGUAGAGGUGAAAUUCGUAGAUAUGGGGAGGAACACCGGUGGCGAAGGCGGCCACCUGGACGGAUACCUGACGGCUGAGACGCGAAAGCGUGGGGAGCAAACAGGAUUGAAGAA
rnacentral:rRNA from 1 species